rnacentral:rRNA from 1 species
CGUAGGGUGCAAGCGUUAAUCGGAAUUACUGGGCGUAAAGCGUGCGCAGGCGGUUAUGUAAGACAGAUGUGAAAUCCCCGGGCUCAACCUGGGAACUGCAUUUGUGACUGUAUAGCUAGAGUACGGUAGAGGGGGAUGGAAUUCCGCGUGUAGCAGUGAAAUGCGUAGAUAUGCGGAGGAACACCGAUGGCGAAGGCAAUCCCCUGGACCUGUACUGACGCUCGUGCACGAAAGCGUGGGGAGCAAACAGGAUUAGAUACCCUGGUAGUCCACGCCCUAAACGAUGUCAACUGGUUGUUGGGUCUUCACUGACUCAGUAACGAAGCUAACGCGUGAAGUUGACCGCCUGGGGAGUACGGCCGCAAGGUUG